ACACUUUGCAAGCUCUCCCUGGGGUCUCUAGAGUGUGUGCCCCUGCAUUAAUGGGGGACACAGAGGCACAACUGCCCACACCCAGGAGGCCAGUGGUUCAGCCCCUCAGCCCUGCUGGGCCAAUUAAUAAUUAAGCUGGAAAAGGGGUGAUGUGGCUAGAAGGCCUGCAGUGACCAGGGCCUGGCCUUGUUUGGCUUUGGUGACGUGAUGGCCCUGGGAUCAUGGCCUUCUUGAGCCCAUAAACAGGGGGUUGGGCCCCGAGACAGGCAAGGUCAGGCCAAGGGCCCUGCCAAAGUACUAUCUACAGAUUGACUCCCCUCCUCCCCCACUGAGGACGAAGGGGUGCUCCGGCCCCACUGCAAGGGAGUGAGGCUCCCGCGGCCCAGCUUAACAUAACGGGUACAUCUUUCCACAUCUCCAGCUAGACAGCAAAUCUUCAUUUUUCAUGUCUACACGGAGGCACCACAAUAAACAUCUUUUUGAUGCUGG